rnacentral:rRNA from 1 species
UACGGAGGGUGCAAGCGUUGUCCGGAAUCACUGGGCGUAAAGGGUGCGUAGGCGGGCCUUUAAGUCAGGGGUGAAAUCCUGGAGCUCAACUCCAGAACUGCCUUUGAUACUGAGGAUCUUGAGUUCGGGAGAGGUGAGUGGAACUGCGAGUGUAGAGGUGAAAUUCGUAGAUAUUCGCAAGAACACCAGUGGCGAAGGCGGCUCACUGGCCCGAUACUGACGCUGAGGCACGAAAGCGUGGGGAGCAAACAGG